AGUGAACGCUGGCGGUAGGCCUAACACAUGCAAGUCGAACGGCAGCACAGUAAGAGCUUGCUCUUACGGGUGGCGAGUGGCGGACGGGUGAGGAAUACAUCGGAAUCUACUUUUUCGUGGGGGAUAACGUAGGGAAACUUACGCUAAUACCGCAUACGACCUACGGGUGAAAGCAGGGGACAUUUGCGCCUGGUGGGAUUGAAGGCGCGGUGUCGGAUUUGGUUGGUGGGGGGGUUAAGGCCCAACAAGGUGACGAUUCGUAGCUGGGCGGGGGGGAUGGUCAGCCACACUGGAACUGAGACACGGUCCAGACUCCUACGGGAGGGAGCAGUGGGGAAUAUUGGACAAUAGGCGCAAGCCUGAUCCAGCCAUACCGCGUGGGUGGAGAAGGCCUUCGGGUUGUAAAGACCUUUUGUUGGGAGAGAAAAGCAGCAGGUUAAUACCCCGCUGUUCUGACGGUACCCAAAGAAUAAGCACCGGCUAACUUCGUG
rnacentral:rRNA from 1 species